UGUAUGAUGAAGAAUGUAGUGAAAUGUGAUAACUAAUGUGAAUUGUAGAAUUCAGUGAAUUAUCGAGUCUUUGAAUGCACCUUGUGCCUUUUGGUAUUUCGAAGGGCAUGCUUGUUUGAGUGUCAGUAAAUUCUCAACCCUUCUCACUUUGUUGUGACGAGGUGGAUUGGAUGUGGAGGUUGUUGGACGCUUUAUUGUGAUCAGCUCUUCUGAAAUGUAUUAGCAGUAGUACCAUUACUUGGCUUGCUAAGCUUGUGAUAAUAUUCUAGCUUGCUUGUGGGUAGAGUUUGGGUUUGAAGGGUUGCUUUAACGAGCUCUCUUUGCCUUCUUUCUUUCGAGAGAGAUAACUAUGCGACUCUACUUAGAUGGCUUCAGCUUCUAACCGUCUGUAACAAGACAAUACAACUGACUAUUUGACCUCAAAUCAGGUAGGACCCC
rnacentral:rRNA from 1 species